GCAGGGCCCGGGGAGUCAGGGCAGCCUGAGCCUGGGUUAGUGCAGACCUGAUUUGGAUUAAAUCGGGGUUGAGGUCAAUGUGUAUAGAACUGGGGUUACUCUGGAAUUAGUCUCUGUUAGUCCAGUUCAGUCUCAAUAAGGGUUGGUUUACACUGGGUUUGUGCUGUGGUCGAGAUGGGUUAGUCUGAGUUAAACCUGGAUUAGGGCGGGUUAGACUGUCUGAGGUACUCUGAAACGCUACACAAGUGCAAGUUGUUGUUAGAGCUAUUUAGUCUGGGUUUGGGCUGUGUUAGAACUGGUUUAGUCUGGGGUAGGUGAGAGCUGGGUUAGUCGGGUUUAGGUCAGAGCUGGUUUAGGUCAGAGCUGGUUAGUCUGGGUUAGGUUAGUCUGGGUUGGGUUAGAGCUGGUUAGUCUGGGUUAGGUGAGAGCUGGUUAGUCUGGGUUAGGUUAGAGCUGGUUAGUCUGGGUUGGGUUAGAGCUGGUUAGUCUGGGUUAGGUUAGAGCUGGUUAGUCUGGGUUAGGUGAGAGCUGGUUAGUCUGGGUUGGGUUAGUCUGGGUUAGGUUAGUCUGGGUUAGGUGAGAGCUGGUUAGUCUGGGUUAGGUUAGAGCUGGUUAGUCUGGGUUGGGUUAGUCUGGGUUAGGUUAGAGCUGGUUAGUCUGGGUUGGGUUAGAGCUGGUUAGUCUGGGUUAGGUUAGAGCUGGUUAGUCUGGGUUGGGUUAGUCUGGGUUAGGUGAGAGCUGGUUAGUCUGGGUUAGGUGAGAGCUGGUUAGUCUGGGUUAGGUGAGAGCUGGUUAGUCUGGGUUAGGUGAGAGCUGGUUAGUCUGGGUUAGGUGAGAGCUGGUUAGUCUGGGUUGGGUUAGUCUGGGUUUGGGCCUCUGGACACAUUGCGCGGCGCGCGCUCAUUGUUGCAAUGAGCUGGAAGAUUGCAGCAUUCCACUUGACGUCACCGCCUGCCACUGCAGCCCCCGCACUGCAC